UACGGAGGGUGCAAGCGUUAAUCGGAAUUACUGGGCGUAAAGCGCACGUAGGUGGUUUGUUAAGCCAGCUGUGAAAUCCCUCGGCUCAACCGGGGAACUGCGUCCGAUACUGGAUGGCUCGAGUUCGGGAGAGGGAUGCGGAAUUCCAGGUGUAGCGGUGAAAUGCGUAGAUAUCUGGAGGAACACCGGUGGCGAAGGCGGCAUCCUGGACCGACACUGACGCUGAGGAGCGAAAGCCAGGGGAGCAAACGGG
rnacentral:rRNA from 1 species